AGUGAACGCUGGCGGUAGGCCUAACACAUGCAAGUCGAACGGCAGCACAGUAAGAGCUUGCUCUUACGGGUGGCGAGUGGCGGACGGGUGAGGAAUACAUCGGAAUCUACUUUUUCGUGGGGGAUAACGUAGGGAAACUUACGCUAAUACCGCAUACGACCUACGGGUGAAAGCAGGGGAUCUUCGGACCUUGCGCGAUUGAAUGAGCCGAUGUCGGAUUAGCUAGUUGGCGGGGUAAAGGCCCACCAAGGCGACGAUCCGUAGCUGGUCUGAGAGGAUGAUCAGCCACACUGGGACUGAGACACGGUCCAGACUCCUACGGGAGGCAGCAGUGGGGAAUAUUGGACAAUGGGCGGAAGCCUGAUCCAGCCAUACCGCGUGGGUGAAGAAGGCCUUCGGGUUGUAAAGCUCUUUUGUUGGGAAAGAAAAGCAGCAGGUGAAUACCCCGCUGUUCUGACGGUACCCAAAGAAUAAGCACCGGCUAACUUCGUG
rnacentral:rRNA from 1 species